ACGAACGCUUGCGGCGUGCUUAACACAUGCAAGUCGAACGGAAAGGCCCUGCUUUUGUGGGGUGCUCGAGUGGCGAACGGGUGAGUAACACGUGAGUAACCUGCCCUUGACUUUUGGAUAACUUCAGGAAACUGGGGCUAAUACCGGAUAGGAGCUCCUGCUGCAUGGGGGGGGUUGGAAAGUUUCGGCGGUUGGGGAUGGACUCGCGGCUUAUCAGCUUGUUGGUGGGGUAGUGGCUUACCAAGGCUUUGACGGGUAGCCGGCCUGAGAGGGUGACCGGCCACAUUGGGACUGAGAUACGGCCCAGACUCCUACGGGAGGCAGCAGUGGGGAAUAUUGCACAAUGGGCGGAAGCCUGAUGCAGCAACGCCGCGUGCGGGAUGACGGCCUUCGGGUUGUAAACCGCUUUCGCCUGUGACGAAGCGUGAGUGACGGUAAUGGGUAAAGAAGCACCGGCUAACUACGUG
rnacentral:rRNA from 1 species